ACCUGAGCGUUUUACAGCGCGUACGAACGCGCUGUAAAACGCCCUACGCCCCAAGAAGUACAGGAGCUUCUUUGGGGCGUAGUGUCGCGCGUUCCCGUACAUAGACUUCCGGGAACGCGCAACAAUGGGCGUUCGCAUACUUCCGGAGCCGCGUACGUGAGACGCCUGGAGAAUCGCGCAUACAGAACGCUCAGGUCAGUACGCUCAGGUCUGAACCGGCUGAAGGAUUAGAAAAAGG